GAAAAAGUUUGAUUUACGAGGUGCUGCCCAAAAUAUUUGAUACAAAGAUUGUAAUUGUUUCACCAUGCGCUGAAUUCCAUCAUAGAGGAACAAUCCGCAAAAUUAGGAGACAGGGCUGUAACAAUAGAUGGGAAAUUAAUAAAGGAUCUUGAGAAGAAAGAAUCAAGCCCAGAUUCUGAAAACGAGAGAGUUAAAAGAUUUUUGGAUGGAAAUGCUGUUUACAUCAUUGGACACCCAGAAUUUAUAAUGGAAAAAACAAUUUGUAAAUUUCUCCGAAAUAAAUACAAAGAUAUAUAGCAUUGUAGUUGACGAGGCUCAUUGUGUUGUGAGCUGGGGGCACGAUUUUCGACCACAAUUUUCACAAAUUUCAAAGUUUAGGUCCCUCUUUCCAAAUGCUAAAUUCGUAGCCCUGACGGCCACUGCAACGAUUAAAAUGCAAAAAGAAAUUGCAGAGAAUUUAUGCAUGUCCAAAAAUUUCCACACAAUAUCAAGUAAUACUAUUCGCGCCAACAUAAAACUAAAUGUCUCCAAAAGGUGUGCAUCAACAGGUGGACAUUACACAGCAGAAAAAUCUUUUGAAACAUCUUUGAAACCAGUGAUUUCUGAGCUCUGUCUACAAUUUCAAAACUUUGACAGAACAAUUGUUUACAGUAAGCUUAAAUACUGUGCCAUGGGCUUUGACCUAGUAAGAAGGGAGGCAAUGAAACUAUCCCUUGAAGACGUUUCGCAAGUGAUGAAUGCAGUUUCACAAUAUCAUGCACCAAGCACCACUAAGAUGAAGGAGAAGACAGUUCACAAAAUGUGUGACCCCUCUAGCCAACUGAAAC